AUCCUGGCUCAUGUAAAACGCCGGCCGGCAGGCUUAACCAUGCAAGUCGACCGGGAAGUGGUGUUUCCAGUGGCGCACGGGUGAGUAACGCGUAAGAACCUGGCCCUUGGGAGGGACACAACUGGACGGUUGCUAAUACCCCGUAGGCUGAGGAUCAAAAGAGAAUCCGCCCAAGAGGGCUCGCGUCUGAUUGCUAUUGUGAGGCAAUAGCGUACCAAGGCGAUAUCAUAGCUGGUCGAAGGAUGAUCAGACCCACUGGACUGAGACCGGCCCAGACCUCCUACGGGCGUCAUCAUGGUGGAAUUUUUCCGCAUGGGCGAAACCGGACGAGCAAAUGCCGCGUGGAGUGGAAGGCCUACGGUCGUCACUUCUUUUCUCGGAGAAGAACAAUGACCGGUAUCUGGGAUAAGCAUCGUCUAACGCUGUGCCAGCAGCCGCGGUAAGACGUAGGAUUCAAGCGUUAUCCGGAAUGAUUGGGCGUAAGCUUCUGUAGGUUGCUUUAAGUCUCCGUCAAUCCCAGGGCGCACCCUGGACAGGCGGUGGAAACCUACCAGCUGGAGUACGUUUAUGGGCAUAGGGAAUUUCCGGUGAGCGGUGAAAUCCAUGGAGAUCGGAAAGAACACCAACGGCGAAAGCACUCUGCUGGGCCGACACUGACACUGCGAGACGAAAGCUAGGGGAGCAAAUUGGAUUAGAGACCCCAUAGUCCCUAGCCUUACCGAGGAUGCUAUUUGCUGUGCGACUCACCCGUUCAUUGCUGUAGCUAACGCGUUAAGUAUCCCGCUCUGGGAGUACGUUCGCAAGAAUGAACUCAAGGACGUGACGGGGGCCCCGCCCAAGGCGUGAGCAGGUGUUUUAAUUUCGAUGCAAAGCGAAGAACCUUACCAGGGCUGACGCCGCGAAUCUCUUGAAAGAGGAGUGGUCCCUUCGGGAACGCGCCACGGUGGUGAUGGCUUCGUCAGCUCGUGCCUAAGGUGUUGGGUUAAUUCCCGCAACGAGCGCAACCCUCGUGUUUUAGUUGCCACUAUGAGUUUGGAACCCGAACAGACCGCCGGUGUUAAGCCGGAGGAAGGAGAGGAUGAGCAAAGUCAUCAUGCCCCCUUAUUCCCUGGGCGACACACUUGCUACAAGUGGGCGUGCCAAGGGUCCGCGAUCUCGCGAGGGUGCGCUACUCCAAAAACCGUCCCAGUUCGGAAUUGCCGGCUGCACUCGCCUGCAUGAAGCAUAAGCGCUAGUAAUCGCCGGUCAGCCAUACGCGGUGAAUCCGGGUCCGGCCGUGUACACAACCGCCCGUCACACUAUAUGGAGCUGGCCAGGUUUGACGUCAUUACCCCUACCGUAAGGAAGGGAUGCCUAAGGCUAGGCUUGCGACUGAUGAAGUCGUAACAAUGUAGCCGUACUGGAAGGUGCGGCUG
rnacentral:rRNA from 1 species